rnacentral:rRNA from 1 species
CCCUUAGAUGUUCUGGGCCGCACGCGCGCUACACUGAUGCAUUCAACAAGCCUAGCCUUGACCGAGAGGUCCGGGUAAUCUUUGAACUGCAUCGUGAUGGGGCUAGAUUAUUGCAAUUAUUAAUCUUCAACGAGGAAUGCCUAGUAAGCGUGAUUCAUCAAAUCGCGUUGAUUACGUCCCUGCCCUUUGUACACACCGCCCGUCGCUCCUACCGAUUGAAUGUGUUGGUGAGGAGCUCGGAUUGGCAGCAGUUGGUGGUUCGCCACCGGCUAUUGCUGAGAAGUCCUCCAAACCGCCCCAUUUAGAGGAAGGAGAAGUCGUAACA